AUGGAAAACGAUGGAAAUCAACCGACUGAUUUCCACGCCACGCAAACCGCCUGGAACGCACGACACGUGUCCAGCCCCACGCGUGGCUCGCAACCGCCCCAGCCUUAUCUUCUUCGUGUCCACACGUUCGCCCCCACUCCUUCCCAGUUCCCACCCCUUUUUGUUGUCACGCAUGGGAGAGGAGGCAUGGCGCUGCAGCAUGAAGGAGGAGGCCGGAGCCUGGCGCCGCUCGUCGCCGGCUAUGCAGCGCAACACGGGAAGGCCGGAAGCGGGCGCCGCCCAUCGUCGGAGGAAGUCGUGUCCCCAUGGAUCUCGCCACAGCGGCGGAGCUACAAUACAGCACAAGCAGCGCCCCGACCCCGUGGAGCUCGCCGGCGGCGGUACUGCUCGGCUGCAAGGGAGCUCUCGCCGGCGGCUACUAGUGUUGCGUUGCAGUGCUCGCCCCGGUUGUCGAAGCUGCAGUGCAUCAACGCAGCAUCUGUGGUGCUGCUCGCCGGCGAUGAAGCUUCAACGCAGCAUCCAUGGCGCUGCUCGCCGGCGACAGAGCUGCAACGCAGCAGCGAUGGUGCUUCAACGCAGCAUCUAUAG
rnacentral:rRNA from 1 species